rnacentral:rRNA from 1 species
CCUACGGGUGGCAGCAGUGGGGAAUUUUCCGCAAUGGGCGAAAGCCUGACGGAGCAAUACCGCGUGAGGGAUGAAGGCUUACUGAGUUGUAAACCUCUUUUUUCAAGGAAGAAGUUCUGACGUUACUUGAAGAAUAAGCAUCGGCUAACUCCGUGCCAGCAGCCGCGGUAAGACGGAGGAUGCAAGUGUUAUCCGGAAUCACUGGGCGUAAAGCGUCUGCAGGUGGUUUUUUAAGUCUGAUGUUAAAACUUGAGGCUCAACCUCAAUCCAGCAUUGGAAACUAGAAGACUAGAGUAUAGUAGGGAUAGAGGGAAUUUCCAGUGGAGCGGUGAAAUGCGUAGAUAUUGGAAAGAACACCGAUGGCGAAAGCACUCUAUUGGACUAUUACUGACACUCAGAGACGAAAGCUAGGGGAGCAAAUGGGAUUAGAUACCCGAGUA